UAGCUCACUAAUUUACUCUUAAUCCUAGUUCAUUUUGCUAUAUAUCUCACCUUUUGAAUUCAUUUUUAUUUCCAUGUUCUUUGGAUUUUUUUUCAUAAAAUACUCUUCUAAUUUUAUAGAAACUGUAAACAUAUCCAUACACUUUCAUUAUAGACCUAGUCUGUUCGCUCUAUUAAAUAUUCUUUCCAUAUGUUAGUUUUCUACUUUUUGAAUUGGAGUUCUUUCUUUGGUAGUUUUGGUUUUCCUCAAAUAUUUAUAGAUUCUUAGUUUCUAUGUGUGUAUUUUUCAGGAAUGUUCCCUGUUUGCCUGCUUGUGGAUGCAUGUUUUGACUACAGAAGCUAGUCUUUGGAGAGAUACAAGUACUACAAAACAUGGCUUCCCUGGAAGAGAUUGCAACUAUAUCUGAACUAAAGCACUUGACCAAGAAUCUUCUAUGUGCUGAUACAAAAACAGAAAUACAAAAAUAUCACAUGGCAUUUCCACUCUUACUAGAAGCACCAAGAAUCUCAGAGGCUCUCGUGUCAGCCCAGCAUCUGUAUUCAUUUCCAUGAGUCCAAGAUGCAUAACACAGACCCAGACCUGUAGACUUGCAGCAGUACCACCUGUCCUGUCAAUCCAUGAGAAUCAGUGAUUGGUGAGUAGCCACCACGAUUUUUUGGGUUGCUUGUUACAUAGCAUUAUUGUAGCAGUUGUUAACCAAUAUGAUAAGGGACUUUGAUGGACCAAAGUUUGUUUUGAAAUGACUAUUUACAAAAUGUUGAACUUAGGCUUAAUAUAUUGUUGCUAUUUUCAGUUUUAAUAUUAAAUAUGU
rnacentral:lncRNA from 1 species